AGAGGAGGAAAGGGGAAGUCUUCUGUCAUCAACGCCACGCCUCUUCACCACCGCCGCCGCCGGAAUCUCUGGUUGCCGCCAUGAUUAAUGCAUGUCUCAAUGGAGCCACUGGCGGGGUGAUGCUGCUGCCGGAACCACCGCGGGGUGUUGCUAGGAAUCGCCCCUGCCCUGCUUCCGCUAUACUUAGGUUCAACAUCCAUUGGCCUGGAGCUGUUUCUGCCUUUCGAUUCCAUUGAAUUCGAAAUCUUCAUUUCACUGCAACCAUGGUCAUUGUUGUGGAAGCUAAUGCUACUGCUGUCCCGGUUGUGUUGAGAUGUAGUGCUGCUGCUCUCUGGGCAGAAACGGUUGCGUGACUAGUAGAGGUCCAGCCAGCUGUCUCGCAGCAAUUCUGCCAACGGUCUCUUGUAAUUGCGACAUCGAGUGACACAGGUUCGAAGA